AUUACCCUUCUUCUCUUCCUCACCCUCGCAUGGCCGAAAGCAAUGGCUCCUCAAGCCAGAUAAAAUCCGACCGACCACCAUAUUUUGUUGGCCACUCCUCACUCCGUUCACUGCCAACGACAGCCCGAGGGGCCAAACGACUCCCUAAUCGACCUAAACCGCUCGAAACGAUUCUCCUAACCUCUCAUCUUCUCGACUGAAUAAUCCCCAAACCCAUGGACGCCAUUUGCUAACCAUAGAUCGGUGAAGCUCCACCUCUUGACCACCAUCCACGACAAUGGAUCAAACCCAAAGCCGCUUCUAAAACGAACCUGACCGAUCACACCUUCACUCCCGACAAUAACCCCGACGCUCGGCCAAGAUUUAGUUUUGUUUCAAAAAUUUUAUAAAGCUUAAUCUCAUCUACAACAAAACCCGUACAGAGUAUGGAUGGAACCAACAAGACCCUUUUUGCGUUCGAACUGCCCGGAUUCCGACAAUUGGAGCAACAACUUGACUAGGA